UGUUAGAUGUCGCUGUAGAUUUAGCAGCACUGUACUGUAAAAAUCCACAGUACUAUACUGUAUGUGUACAUUACAGUACAGUACUGCAGUUCAUAAUGCAUUCUGGGUAAAUUUGUUUGAGCGGGAAAAUUUUACAGUAUAUUUUGGUCUUGAUGUAACCUUGCUGUAGCCAUUGCUGUAAUGUGCCAGGUGUACUUGCAAUAAUCAGUGAAAGUGCGCCAACGUCAAAUCACACAGACAGAGGGAGAGCACAACUCUUGGCUGCAGCUGAAGGAGGACGAUUGAUUUCUGGCAGUUCGUCUUACCAUUGCUUGUAAGCUGGAUUGGGUAAGAUGGAUCAUCUUUAAAGGCACCAGGCAAGUACAUGAUGUACAGUUACAAGUCAUGUAUUUUUUCGACUGCAAUAUUAAAUGCUUUCACCACGUCACAUGUAAAAGUACACAGGAAUGUGCUGAUCACUUUUUAUUUGUAGUUUACAUGAGUGUCAUUGCACUUUUCAGGAGUUAAGGCAGAUGUGGAGGCACAAGGGGUGACACCAGACACACACCAAGCACAUUGUUCGGUAAGUUUGCACUUUACCACUACAGUUUCUUUAAAUACCCAUGUAUACACUCAUUCACUAUUCCCACACACAACACUGUAACACGACCAUACACAACAUGUACACAAUUGUCUUAGUUUGCCAUGUAGAAAUAUACAAACAGAAAUAUUCAGACUUUGGUUAUAAGAAAUUUAAUUUAAUAAUUGUAUUUAUUUAGCAGAGGUGUCCCUGGACUUUAUUGACAAAAGAUUUUGUUUUCAGAAUAAGUGUCCAAAUCAGUAACAAUUGUACUUUCUGUUCAGGACAUUCAAUCAUGACAUGAUCCAUGUGGAUGCUGUCCAUUGAGGAAAGAGUUUGUUCAGCGGUUUCUGGAUAGAAUUAAUUCCAAAGAUGGGAAAAAGUGCACAUCCAGACAAGGAGCAAGCAAAUAGACAAGGAACUUGGUGCAGAGAAAAGCUGUGGCCAUUAACCCCCAUGUGAACAGCUUCAUGCAGUCCCUGAUUGAGUUCGAAUGGACGACUUCAAAGUAAAGGCCACUGUGGUCUGUCUGCCACAGUUUAAUUUUUAAUUUAUUUUUAGUGUUCAAUGAAAUUCAAGUAGAAUAUUUAAAACUAUGGGCCAGUGUUGUUUUUACCACGGUGAAAUGUUACCUUUUAGUCGAUGAUGGACUUUAAACUGAAAACUUCAAACUAUGGAACAGUGUUCUAUUUGCCAGAGUUAAAUAUGUUACAGCAGGGGUCUCCAAACUUGUUUAUACUUGUUGAUUUUAUUUUAUGUUACUUGAUUAUAUGUUUAUUAUUGUUUAAAAUCUUGUUUUAAAUGUUUUGUUUCAAUUAAAUGUUUUUUUAAAUAAAAUUUUGAUACAAACAUUGCUUGGAUUGCCUUUUAAUUCAUUAUGUCAUGUCAAGGAUAGCAUUUUUACCAUAUUAAUAACUAUAGAUUUAAACCUAAAUCUCUAGCUAUUUUAUAUAAUAUUAUUGUAUUAACUGUAAUAAGUAAUAAAUAGUAUUUAUGGGUCAAUAUAGACAUUACAGUAAAUUACUGUAAAAAUAGACUACUGUAAUAAAAUAUUGUAAAAUUACAGU